AGAGUUUGAUCCUGGCUCAGGACUAACGCUGGCGGUGUGCCUAACACAUGCAAGUCGAGCGGGGUUAUAGUGGUAGUAAUACCGUUAUAAUCUAGCGGCGAACGGGCGAGUAACGCGUAGGUAACGUGCCUCUUUGCUGGGGAUAACCAUUCGAAAGGAUGGCUAAUACCGAAUAGCUUCGUACCAGGGCAUCCUGGAAUGAAUAAAGCUACGGCGCGGAGGGAGCGGCCUGCGUCCUAUUAGCUAGUUGGUAGGGUAAUGGCCUACCAAGGCUGCGAUGGGUAGCCGGUCUGAGAGGAUGGUCGGCCACACUGGGACUGAGACACGGCCCAGACUCCUACGGGAGGCAGCAGUGAGGGAUUUUGCGCAAUGGCCGAAAGGCUGACGCAGCGACACCGCGUGAGUGAUGAAGGUCUUCGGAUUGUAAAGCUCUGUCAGGGGGGAAGAGGAAGGACGGUACCCCCAGAGGAAGCCUCGGCUAACUACGUGCCAGCAGCCGCGGUAAGACGUAGGGGGCGAGCGUUGUCCGGAAUUACUGGGCGUAAAAAGCUCGUAGGUGGGAUUGCAAGUCGAUGAGUAAAUGCCUCGGCUCAACUGAGGUUUCAUUAUCGAUACUGCAGUUCUUGAGGACAGGAGAGGAAAGCGGAAUUCCCGGUGUAGCGGUGAAAUGCGUAGAGAUCGGGAGGAACACCAGUGGCGAAGGCGGCUUUCUGGCCUGAUUCUGACACUGAGGAGCGAAAGCUAGGGUAGCGAACGGGAUUAGAUACCCCGGUAGUCCUAGCCGUAAACGAUGGGCACUAGGUGUAGGAGGUGUUAAUCCCUUCUGUGCCGCAGUUAACACAUUAAGCGCCCCGCCUGGGGAGUACGGCCGCAAGGUUGAAACUCAAAGGAAUUGACGGGGGCCCGCACAAGCAGUGGAGCAUGUGGUUUAAUUCGACGAUACGCGAAGAACCUUACCAGGGUUUGGAAUCUAGGGGAAUCAUGCAGAGAUGUGUGCGCCCUUCGGGGCUCCUAGACAGGUGCUGCAUGGCUGUCGUCAGUUCGUGCCGUGAGGUGUUGGGUUAAGUCCCGCAACGAGCGCAACCCUUAUUCUUAGUUGCCAGCGAGUUAUGUCGGGCACUCUAGGGAGACUGCCGUCAUAAGACGGAGGAAGGUGGGGAUGACGUCAAGUCAGCAUGGCCCUUACGUCCUGGGCUACACACGUGCUACAAUGGUCGGUACAACGGGCAGCGAGACCGCGAGGUGGAGCGAAUCCCUUUAAAGCCGAUCUCAGUUCGGAUUGGAGGCUGCAGCUCGCCUCCAUGAAGGUGGAAUUGCUAGUAACCGUAGAUCAGCUACGCUGCGGUGAAUACGUUCCCGGGCCUUGUACACACCGCCCGUCACGUCACGAAAGCUAGUGGUACCCGAAGUCGCUGACCCAACCGCAAGGCGAGAGGUGCCGAAGGUAUGACUGGUGAUUGGGACGAAGUCGUAACAAGGUA
rnacentral:rRNA from 1 species